rnacentral:rRNA from 16 species
GGGUUUGAUCCUGGCUCAGAGUGAACGCUAGGGGUGUGCAUAACACAUGCGAGUUAACGUAUUGUUCGUGGCGAACGGGUGAGUAUCACAGGCAUUGUUGCCCAAUAGCCCAGGAAAAACCCUGGAUAAAAAGAUUGAUCGUUGUUGGAUUUGUCUGUAUAGGAUUAGUUUUUCGUAGAGAGGCGACGAUCCUUAGUUGAUCUGGGAAGGAUGCACAGCCACAUUGGAACUGAGACAAGGUCCAAGCUCCAGUAGGAGGCAGCAGUGAGGAAUAUUGGGCAAUGGGCGAAAGCCUGACCCAACGACACCCCGUGAGUGAUGAAGGCCAAGGUCGUAAAGCUACGAAGCGGGUUGUUAUAAUGAAAUAAAUUCGCUAAAAAGUCCCGGCUAACUCCGUGCCAGCAGCCGCGGUAAUACGGGGGGGACAAGUGUUACUCCUAAUGACUGGGCGUAAAGCGUGCGUAGGCGGUUUUCGUUACGGUUUUUAUGCGAAAGACUAGGGCGUAACCCUAGGGUGAUGUUUUUACACAGGAAACUUGAGUUUAGUAGGGGUUAGUGGAAUUCUCAGAGGAGGGGUCAAAUCCUAGUACACUGAGACGAACACCAGGUGGCGAAGGCGACUAACUGGACUAAACUGACGCUAAAGCACGGAAGCGUAGGUAGCAAAUAGGAUUAGAGACCCUAGUAGUCUACGCCGUCAACUUUGGGCAUCGGCUUUUUGCCUAGCUAACGCAGGAAGUGCCCCGCCUGGGGAGUACGGUCGCAAGAUUAAAACUUAAAGGAAUUGACGGGGGCUUUGUGCAAGCGGUGGGGCAUGCGGUUUAAUCCGAUACUACACGUAGAACCUUACCAACCCUUGAAGAAAUUUAUUACUAUUAAUGAAUAGUUACAGGUGUUGCAUGGCUGCCGUCAGCCCGUGUCGUAAGAUGUUUGGUUAACUCCUUUAACGGGCGAAACCCCUCUUUUUGAGCACCGCUGUUUAUGUAACAGAGGUAGGUAGGGAUCAAGCCAAGUCGUCAUGGCCCUUAUGGGUUGGGCUACACAUGUGUCACAAAAUUGCAUACAGCGAGAAGCAAUGGAAAUUUCCGGAGCAAUCUUUAACGUGCAAUGAGGUUCGGAUUAUCCUCUGAAACUUGGGGGUAUGAAGGCGUAAUCGCUAGUAAUCGCAUAUCACUACGGCGCGGUGAAUUUGCAACCAAGCCUUGUACACACCGCCCGUCACGCCCGGAAAGUCAGCUUUGCUUGAAGAGUUUGCGGUGAAUGUGUUUUUUUUAGCAUACAACCGGUCUUGAUAGUGGGGUCGAUGAUCGGGGCGAAGUCGGAACAAGGUAGCUGUAGGGG